rnacentral:lncRNA from 1 species
AGAUGGAAGAAAAAUACAACGCCAGCCUUUUGGCGGCCGGAAUGCAUUGUGAAGCCCAACAGUUAAUUGCUGAGGGAGUCGGUUUAGUGUUGCAAUCGUACAAGUUGGACUCAUACGUUCAACGUCUCGCGGAAUGCCUUUUCCAUUUUCAUGAGAAAGUUGAUGACUUGUUGGCUAUCGAAGAGCAAAUUGAUGUCGAUGUUCGCUCGCUGGAGACUUGCGCUUAUUCUGCCAACACGUUUGCUGACAUCUUGUCCAAGAUCCAGAAGAUGACCUGAGUCUUCGUCAGUAUUCGAAUUUGCAACAAUGGGUCACUAAACUAGACGAAGAAUUAGAAAAGCGUUUGGCUUCCGGUGGUGGAAUUGGUGGAAUUCAGGCCUGGACCCCUGCUCUUGAGGGUCGCAAAGAAGUCGACGUCGACUACACCAUGGACACCGAUGCAGUGGAACUUGGCGGCCAGCCCCAGAUCCGCACAAUUAUUCAUGAAAUUUGCGUUACUAACCAGACGAUGUAUCUGCAUCCGCCACUGCCUGAAGCUCGUACCAAGAUCUAUGAUCUGAUGUUUGAUUGGCAAGCCAUUGUCACGUCUUUGACUCGUAUCCAGAGUACCGGUUAUCAAGUUGCGCUAGAUCGGCCUACUCCACAAACCUAUCGAAAUCUACUCACAAACAUGCCAGAUGGCCCGGAAGUCCUGGCUGCCGCGAGUGCCGCCUGUACUGCCAUUGAGGGAAGAAUGAAGGAGGUGAAAGUCUACGUCGACGACUCUUAAGGAGGAUCAAUCUCUCUGGCUAUGAAAACACCCACAGAUGGCUGCGGAGAGAAAGAACGUGGCGUCGGGACUGAAAUUUUCAGGUCAACAUGUUAACGACCUUCCAAGAUGCUGAGGCUCCUGAACAUCAAUCCCGUGUGCAAAUUUGGAUUCAAGAGUAUGAGAAGAAUCGUCAGGUUUUCGUCUUCAGAACUCCAACUGUGGGUACUUUCUACUUUCUCCACCUUGUUACUAGUGCUUGGAUUGCUGUCUCUUUUGAUCCAGAUUGCCUCGUCUUCAUUGCGCUAUAGGUUCGUGCUUAGUCUCCUCGGCUCUGGUAUCUGGAUCGGUAUGUUUGGCGUGGCGAUGAUACCGCGAUCCAUUUGAAACUGAAAGUUAACGUUUUAACUCAUUCAAAACAGCCGAGCCACACCGCGGAACAGUCGAGUUCCGGGAGAAGAUUCCGUUGCAGCUCAUGCCCGUAGGCCAGUUAUAACAAGAGCCAAUACGUUUACCACCGGCAGUUCCAUCGGCCGCGGGGAUGCACCUUACAAGUGUUUGCAAUGCUCCUACAACGUCAGCCGGAGGCAUUUGCUGAAUCAAAACCUCAGCGUCCACGGCCUGCCGCCCGUCGGCCUCCUGGACGGUGAUAACUACGCGUCCAAUUCGGAUGCCAUCGGGUCGGAAGCCGAAGCCGAAGCCGAAGCCGCCGAGGCCAUUAAAAUGGCGGACGACGAAGUGAUGGUGGCCGCUGCUGGAGAUCAUUCGCCCACGCCCAUCUCGGCCUGUUCGCUGUUCGCCUUCCUCGGCCGUCGCGGCCGCAUCCAGCAGCAGAAGGCUACACCCACCUGGGCCAGGAUCCCAACACGAUCGCCCGUCUGCCGGACUCUGCCACGGUUUCGCUGCUGGACAUUCCGCUGACGUGGGUGUCGCGGUGGACGAAAUUUUACAAAAUGUUCAAGUGCCGCCACUGCCCGCACGUCAACGUCCGCUAGAGCAACAUCCAGGAGCACGAGAAGAGACACCAGACGAAGCUGGGCAGCGCUGCCGGCGACAACAUGCACGCCUGCUCCAUGUGCAAUUACCGGUGCAACAACGCCGGCGUC